AGUCCAACUUGGUAGGGGUCAAUGGGCGACCAAAAAGACUCAUGGCCUAAGGCAGUGACCUACAUUGCACUUGGUAGGGGUGCUGCUCUAAGGUCUCCCCCAAGGGGGAGAGACUACAUAAUUUGUGGCAGCGGGGAGUUGCGUUCGCGCAGUCCCUA